rnacentral:rRNA from 1 species
CAAUAGCGUAUAUUAAAGUUGUUGCGGUUAAAAAGCUCGUAGUUGGAUUUCUGUUGAGGACGACCGGUCCGCCCUCUGGGUGAGUAUCUGGCUCGGCCUUGGCAUCUUCUUGGAGAACGUAACUGCACUUGACUGUGUGGUGCGGUAUCCAGGACUUUACUUGAGGAAAUUAGAGUGUUUCAAGCAGGCUUGUGCCUUGAAUACAUUAGCAUGGAAUAAUAAGAUAGGACUUUGGCGUCUAUUUUGUUGGUUUGCACACCAAGGUAAUGAUUAAUAGGGAUAGUUGGGGGUAUUCGUAUUUAAUUGUCAGAGGUGAAAUUCUUGGAUUUAUGAAAGACGAACUUCUGCGAAAGCAUUUACCAAAGAUGUUUUCAUUAAGAACGAAAGUUAGGGGAUCGAAGACGAUUAGAU